rnacentral:rRNA from 1 species
GGUUAAGCGACUAAGCGUACACGGUGGAUGCCCUGGCAGUCAGAGGCGAUGAAGGACGUGCUAAUCUGCGAAAAGCGUCGGUAAGGUGAUAUGAACCGUUAUAACCGGCGAUGUCCGAAUGGGGAAACCCAGUGCAAUUCGUUGCACUAUCAUUAACUGAAUACAUAGGUUAACGAGGCGAACCGGGGGAACUGAAACAUCUAAGUACCCCGAGGAAAAGAAAUCAACCGAGAUUCCCCCAGUAGCGGCGAGCGAACGGGGAGCAGCCCAGAGUCUGAAUCAGCUUGUGUGUUAGUGGAACGGUCUGGAAAGUCCGACGGUACAGGGUGAUAGUCCCGUACACCAAAAUGCACAGGCUGUGAACUCGAAGAGUAGGGCGGGACACGUGGUAUCCUGUCUGAAUAUGGGGGGACCAUCCUCCAAGGCUAAAUACUCCUGACUGACCGAUAGUGAACCAGUACCGUGAGGGAAAGGCGAAAAGAACCCCGGCGAGGGGAGUGAAAAAGAACCUGAAACCGUGUACGUACAAGCAGUGGGAGCACCUUCGGGUGUGACUGCGUACCUUUUGUAUAAUGGGUCAGCGACUUAUAUUCUGUAGCAAGGUUAACCGUAUAGGGGAGCCGCAGGGAAACCGAGUCUUAACUGGGCGUUAAGUUGCAGGGUAUAGACCCGAAACCCGGUGAUCUAGCCAUGGGCAGGUUGAAGGUUGGGUAACACUAACUGGAGGACCGAACCGACUAAUGUUGAAAAAUUAGCGGAUGACUUGUGGCUGGGGGUGAAAGGCCAAUCAAACCGGGAGAUAGCUGGUUCUCCCCGAAAGCUAUUUAGGUAGCGCCUCGUGAAUUCAUCUUCGGGGGUAGAGCACUGUUUCGGCUAGGGGGUCAUCCCGACUUACCAACCCGAUGCAAACUACGAAUACCGAAGAAUGUUAUCACGGGAGACACACGGCGGGUGCUAACGUCCGUCGUGAAGAGGGAAACAACCCAGACCGCCAGCUAAGGUCCCAAAGUCAUGGUUAAGUGGGAAACGAUGUGGGAAGGCACAGACAGCCAGGAUGUUGGCUUAGAAGCAGCCAUCAUUUAAAGAAAGCGUAAUAGCUCACUGGUCGAGUCGGCCUGCGCGGAAGAUGUAACGGGGCUAAACCAUGCACCGAAGCUGCGGCAGCGACACUAUGUGUUGUUGGGUAGGGGAGCGUUCUGUAAGCCUGCGAAGGUGACCUGUGAGGGUUGCUGGAGGUAUCAGAAGUGCGAAUGCUGACAUAAGUAACGAUAAAGCGGGUGAAAAGCCCGCUCGCCGGAAGACCAAGGGUUCCUGUCCAACGUUAAUCGGGGCAGGGUGAGUCGACCCCUAAGGCGAGGCCGAAAGGCGUAGUCGAUGGGAAACAGGUUAAUAUUCCUGUACUUGGUGUUACUGCGAAGGGGGGACGGAGAAGGCUAUGUUAGCCGGGCGACGGUUGUCCCGGUUUAAGCAUGUAGGCUGGUUGUCCAGGCAAAUCCGGAUAAUCAAGGCUGAGGUGUGAUGACGAGGCACUACGGUGCUGAAGUAACAAAUGCCCUGCUUCCAGGAAAAGCCUCUAAGCAUCAGGUAACAUCAAAUCGUACCCCAAACCGACACAGGUGGUCAGGUAGAGAAUACCAAGGCGCUUGAGAGAACUCGGGUGAAGGAACUAGGCAAAAUGGUGCCGUAACUUCGGGAGAAGGCACGCUGGUGUGUAGGUGAAGCCCCUGCGGGUGGAGCUGAGACCAGUCGAAGAUACCAGCUGGCUGCAACUGUUUAUUAAAAACACAGCACUGUGCAAACACGAAAGUGGACGUAUACGGUGUGACGCCUGCCCGGUGCCGGAAGGUUAAUUGAUGGGGUUAUCCGUAAGGAGAAGCUCUUGAUCGAAGCCCCGGUAAACGGCGGCCGUAACUAUAACGGUCCUAAGGUAGCGAAAUUCCUUGUCGGGUAAGUUCCGACCUGCACGAAUGGCGUAAUGAUGGCCAGGCUGUCUCCACCCGAGACUCAGUGAAAUUGAACUCGCUGUGAAGAUGCAGUGUACCCGCGGCAAGACGGAAAGACCCCGUGAACCUUUACUAUAGCUUGACACUGAACAUUGAGCCUUGAUGUGUAGGAUAGGUGGGAGGCUUUGAAGCGUGGACGCCAGUCUGCGUGGAGCCAACCUUGAAAUACCACCCUUUAAUGUUUGAUGUUCUAACGUUGGCCCCUGACCGGGGUUGCGGACAGUGUCUGGUGGGUAGUUUGACUGGGGCGGUCUCCUCCCAAAGCGUAACGGAGGAGCACGAAGGUUAGCUAAUCCUGGUCGGACAUCAGGAGGUUAGUGCAAUGGCAUAAGCUAGCUUGACUGCGAGCGUGACGGCGCGAGCAGGUGCGAAAGCAGGUCAUAGUGAUCCGGUGGUUCUGAAUGGAAGGGCCAUCGCUCAACGGAUAAAAGGUACUCCGGGGAUAACAGGCUGAUACCGCCCAAGAGUUCAUAUCGACGGCGGUGUUUGGCACCUCGAUGUCGGCUCAUCACAUCCUGGGGCUGAAGUAGGUCCCAAGGGUAUGGCUGUUCGCCAUUUAAAGUGGUACGCGAGCUGGGUUUAGAACGUCGUGAGACAGUUCGGUCCCUAUCUGCCGUGGGCGCUGGAGAAUUGAGGGGGGCUGCUCCUAGUACGAGAGGACCGGAGUGGACGCAUCACUGGUGUUCGGGUUGUCAUGCCAAUGGCACUGCCCGGUAGCUAAAUGCGGAAGAGAUAAGUGCUGAAAGCAUCUAAGCACGAAACUUGCCCCGAGAUGAGUUCUCCCUGAGACUUUAAGUCUCCUGAAGGAACGUUAAAGACGAUGACGUUGAUAGGCCGGGUGUGUAAGCGCAGCGAUGCGUUGAGCUAACCGGUACUAAUGAACCGUGAGGCUUAACCUU